rnacentral:rRNA from 1 species
UACGUAGGGUGCGAGCGUUGUCCGGAAUUAUUGGGCGUAAAGGGCUCGUAGGCGGUCUGUUGCGUCGGGAGUGAAAACUCAGGGCUUAACCCUGAGCCUGCUUCCGAUACGGGCAGACUAGAGGUAUGCAGGGGAGAACGGAAUUCCUGGUGUAGCGGUGAAAUGCGCAGAUAUCAGGAGGAACACCGGUGGCGAAAGCGAGGUCCUGGACGUUUUCUGACGCUGAGACGCGAAAGCCAGGGGAGCGAACGGG